rnacentral:hammerhead_ribozyme from 1 species
AUCCAGUCGACGAGUCCCAAGUAGGACGAAACGCGCGUCUUGGAU